rnacentral:rRNA from 1 species
GAUGAACGCUAGCUACAGGCUUAACACAUGCAAGUCGAGGGACCGGCGCACGGGUGAGUAACACGUGUCCAACCUGCCCUUUACUCGGGGAUAGCCUUUCGAAAGAAAGAUUAAUACCCGAUAUAAAGGAUGGGGAUGCGUUCAAUUAGGUUGUUGGUGAGGUAACGGCUACCCAAGCCUUCGAUGGAUAGGGGUGCUGAGAGGAAGGUCCACCACAUUGGAAAUGAGACACAGUACAAAAUCCUACGUGAAGCAGCAUUGAGGAAGAUUGGUCACGGGGCUCUAGCCUGAACCAGCCAAGUAUCGUGAAGGAUGAAGGCUUAGGGGUCGUAAACUUGUUUUAUAUAAGAAUAUGUAUUAUAUGAAUAAGGAUCGGCUAACUCCGUGCCAGCAGCCGGGGUAAUAC